GCCUCGGUAGUGUAAUGGAUCAGUAUGGCAGACCAGAUAUCUGUCAGUGCGGGUUCGAGUCCCGCCUGGGGUU
rnacentral:tRNA from 1 species